UCCUGAAUAAAUUUUCAGGCGGUCUAC
rnacentral:piRNA from 1 species